rnacentral:misc_RNA from 1 species
UGAUGGAGUCGGAAUCAGGCAAAUCGGUUAGGGAGCGAACAAUUGCUAUGAAAAACGCAGCGAAGGAGGCACUGAGUGAGGGUGGUUCCUCCUUUGUUGGAUUGUCCAGACUGGCCGAGUCAUGGAAUCGUCAAUGAGUUGAAUCCGGCCAGUUUCUCUAUUCACUUGAGCAAUUAUUGACGAUUCAACACGUUACAGAAAGCCUGACU